GCCUGUGUUGUCUAAUGGCUAUGACAUCAGACUUCUAUGGAGUAAGAGGAUCUGGAGGUUGCAGGUUCAAGUUCUGCUGUGGGUU
rnacentral:tRNA from 1 species